rnacentral:lncRNA from 1 species
GGAAGCUUGCCUUGAAUUUUCAUAUAUUUCCUUGUGUUAACCCCGAUUUUUCAUGUUUUGUGUACCCUUUCCCAAAGUUCUUUGUACUAUUCUACUUUCUCACCAUAAAAACCCUCAAAAACCUUUCCUUAUUACACUCUCUCACUAGUUGGAUGUUCUAGAGAGAGAAAGUGAGAUUUUCAUGAUAGUUUGAAAGCUUUUGGAAAAGUAAUUCA